UAGGGCUGAAUCUCUAAUAAGAGUACGGAGGAACCAAUUUAAAGGGGUUAAUCUAGGUGACAUUUAUUGCAAGGUGCAUUUAAAAAAAACAUCUAGUAGGGAAACCUUCAACCGAACCCGUCAGCUAACUCCGGAAGCCGGAAGGGAGG
rnacentral:sRNA from 1 species